GGUUGACCUCGGAUCAGGUAGGGAUACCCGCUGAACUUAAGCAUAUCAAUAAGCGGAGGAAAAGAAACCAACAGGGAUUACCUCAGUAACGGCGAGUGAAGCGGUAAGAGCUCAAAUUUGAAAGCUGGCUCCUUCGGGGUCCGCAUUGUAAUUUGCAGAGGAUGCUUCGGGAGCGGUCCCCAUCUAAGUGCCCUGGAACGGGACGUCAUAGAGGGUGAGAAUCCCGUAU
rnacentral:rRNA from 1 species